CAUCUCAGCCCUGUCAAGAUGGAUCUCCAUAACAGGUGAUGAAUAGUUUUAUUUGGGGGAUGUAUUAACUUUUACUAUUGGGGGGAAGUUUUAGAUCGGUCUGCCAGUUUGUAACCCAUCAAGUUGAGGCCAAUAGAUAUACAUUCACAACCCUGCACCCAUCAAAUAAUCAACUUUAUGUGUGACUUUGGGACUGAUUCAUACAACCACAUUUACUUUCUCCACUCUAUAGCAGCUUUUUCUCUGUAUUUGAAAAAAAUAACCAAGAAGGAGAAGAUAAGGAACCAGGAAUAAGUGCUGGAUGAGUAUGGUGAGGACCUAAGCUUUACAAGUGAGGGGGCUAGGAAGAUGGCUUUGUGGUUUAGCAUAGGAAUGAUGGGUGCUGCUUCAUAUUAUUGAAUUUCUGUUCCACAAAGAAUAAGACUUUGAGCUCUUUGCUCUUAUACUUUUAAGGCUUGUCAGAUUCUGGAAGAUGGAGAGUCUGGAAUGCUUUCUAGUGACAACAUAUCAGCCAGCUGCUGCUCUGCCUCUGCCUUCUCCUCACCCAUCAUUUCCCAUCUUUUCCCCUCCUCUGUCUCUGAGCUGUGACUUCCCCCAAACCCCUGUUGUAAAUCCAUACUGUCUUCCUCUUCCUCCUCCCUGGAAGGGUCAGGAUGGGGAGGUGGUCUCCACCACUCUUCCUCUGGCCUGCCCCUGACAUAUUGUAAGGCAGACAAGUGUCAAAGAGAACCAAAUCUUUACAAGGAAAAUCAUAGUAAGCACAUUAUCUAAGCAAUUCCAGUGGUAAGAAGAGUUCAGGAAGUUGUUUGUGAGCACCAAGGCUUAGAAAAGCAUUGAAAUACCUUGAUAAACGCAGAUAGUAAGCAAGGAUGCAAUUUCGACUUUCAAUUUGGACUUUGCUCUUUUGCCUUGUCUGGAAUGAUGUGUUGCGACUAAAAUGGUUUCCACUUAGAUUAAAGUCAUGUUUACACACAGAAGAAGCUUUUGCUGUGAGACAUGGAUUUUGUAACUAAUUCAUGUUCAUUUGGAGCAAUUGUAGAAAUCAGAGAUAUGGCAAAACAGUAUAGAACUGCCCUUUGCUGACCUUUCCCUAGGCACAUGUCUACAGCUAUGACACAAUUUACCAUACAUAACUCCAUGCCCUAAAACAUUUCACUUACUGAAAUUCUGUCAAUCAAGCCAAUAUUUUAAAAAAACCCACACAGACAGGGAAAGUUUUUUCCGUUUUCAGUUUGCAAAGUCCAAUACCACAGUUAAGUACAGGCCUUCAGACUGGAACAGCACCAAAAACUACUUACCCCUACAGUGAGACGGCUUUCAGUCAAAACUGCAAAUUGAGAAGGAAGGUAGGCAUGGGACUUUUGAGAACUAUGUUUGUGAAUUCAUUUUGCACGUGUGGUUUUCAUUGCAUGGAGGAAACCAGUGUGCACUGCCAAGCCCUGUCCCAUCUGGGGGCUUUUUUCCAGCCUUCCACAUGCUGAAGGUCAAAUGUCUGUUUCAUAGGCAUGGGAGCAUAAGUUGGCAGUCUGAAUCAUUGUUUACCACUUCUGUUCCUUACCUCUUGUUUAUUAAAAGAACAAAGGAAACUUUUUGAACAUCACUCAUGCAUAUUCUUGCCCUGCCUACUUUGGCUAUGUGUUGUAUACCCUCCAACAUUCCUCAGUCAUUCUUUUCUACAUCACUGUCCCCCACAUGCCUUCCAAAAAAGCACACUACUGAUAGAAUACAAGAAAAGGAUGGGGCUGGCUGAGCUACCCCAGUGGGACUUACUUUUAAGCAAACACACAUGGUUCAAAAUGAGCAUGGUCCUAUCUGUAGGCUCCGCCAAGUUCAAAGACAAGUUUGCUCAAGUCUGAAAUCUUAUACACACACUCUCUCAUUCAAGUCAGUGAGCACACAAAGGGAUCUGCGACCCCUUUAAACUGUUAAAAGUGGGAAUUUAGAUACUAUAGGCUUCCAAGGAAUAAGACUCGAAAUUUUGGUUCUGAGCUGCUGAAUUUCUGCCUUUCAUCCAUCUACUCUGCUGGAGGGGCAGUACCAGUCUAUAUGCUCAAGGUUAGCUUUGCAUAUAUCUAUAUACAUGAUGGUGGCAAGCAUAUUCACACACUGGAUGGGGAUUAACACAGGCAACACGCCAACGGCUCUGGUACAAUGCCUGCUUCCUAGCAACUGAACUCAGAUGGACAACACUCUCACACACAUGCUUCCGAGUCUGUUGCAGUGCCCUCGCAUUCAAAGCCUUGCAUUGCUUCUAGAGCCUAACACAAACAUUUAUUUGCAACCUCAAAAGGGGUUAAUCCAAAAGCUUAAGACACUUACUCACAAUGCAGGCCCAAUGGCGUUUAUGCCAGUCUUUUAAAAGACCACACAAAAGUUUAGUAAAGGGGUAGUGUACAAAAAAACCAAAAACACCAACAACCAGUCACACUACAGAAACUUGCAGCUUUCCAGUUUAAAAAGUUGUUGAGGGUCUUCUGUGGGGAAACUUGGCUGGAAAAGUGGGGGGACGGUCACUGGCCACAUCUCAAGGGAUCCUGUCUCUCCUGGGCCUGUCUGGGGACCAGCCAACCACCUGCCCGCUGGGGUGACAGAGUGUGGCCUAAAGCAGGACAUGAGACGGAGAGAGGGCAGCUCAAGCAAUGGAGGGGGGCAAAUGUCAUAGUCUCGUUGCUGAGCAACAAUUUGCAGGGCUCAGUGGAGUGAGAGAGCAACCAACUAGAAGUGUCUCUGAGGUGUACUUGCCUGGAGGAAGAUUCAGCAUCUGAAGUCAGGUCCAGUCCUAGGCAUGGGCAAACAACAAUCCACAUGGUCAGACAGUCCAGGGGUCAGGGAAUCUGAUGAUCAUAGGGUCAAGACAAAAGGAAGCAGCAAGGUAGGGCCAGGAACUACAAGCGUUCUUACUAGCAUCUGACUGCUGCUGGAAACUCUGCUUAAGAAGGCUGAAGCCAGCUGAAUCUCGUUAGUACCUUCUCCUCUGAGUCCUUGAAGGCUGAUCAGUUGCAGGUGGAGUCACUCUGUCUUCUCUCCCUUCAGGCUGCUGUUCAGCAG